CAGUCGCCACGGGAAUACGAAGGGUGCAAGCGUUAAUCGGAAUUACUGGGCGUAAAGCGUGCGUAGGCGGUGAGUUAAGUCUGCUGUGAAAUCCCCGGGCUCAACCCCGGAACUGCCCUUGAAACUGCUAGGCUAGAAUCUUGGAGAGGCGAGUGGAAUUCCGAGUGUAGAGGUGAAAUUCGUAGAUAUUCGGAAGAACACCAGUGGCGAAGGCGACUCGCUGGACAAGUAUUGACGCUGAGGUGCGAAAGCGUGGGGAGCAAACAGGAUUAGAUACCCCAGUAGUCCCUGUCUCUUAUAC
rnacentral:rRNA from 1 species